rnacentral:rRNA from 1 species
GAUGAACGCUGGCGGCGUGCCUAACACAUGCAAGUCGUACGAGCUCGAUCUUCGGAACGGGUUAGUGGCGCACGGUGAGUAACACGUAGGUGACCUACCCCAGAGUGGGGGAUAACUUCUCGAAAGAGAGGCUAAUACCGCAUACACUCGGUCAUUCAUUUGGCCGAGCAAAGCUCCGGCGCUUUGGGACGGGCCUGCGUCCGAUUAGCUAGUUGGUAGGGUAAUGGCUUACCAAGGCUUUGAUCGGUAGCUGGUCUGAGAGGACGAUCAGCCACACUGGGCACUGACACACGGGCCAGACUCCUACGGGAGGCAGCAGUGAGGAAUAUUGGGCAAUGGGCGAAAGCCUGACCCAGCAACGCCGCGUGAGGGAUGAAGGCCUUCGGUUGUAAACUCUUUCUGGAGAAGAGACAAGGACGGUAUCCCAGGAAUAAGUACUCGGCGUAACUACGUAGCCAGCAGCCGCGAU